AGCUGAGUCCUAAGCCAAUAACAAAUACAGUGAAGAGGAUAAAGGUUGUGAUGGAUAUUUAUGUCUUUGCAAGUAAUGGGUUUCCUAUUUUGUGUCAUCUCCUGUUGUCCUAGUCCUGAUCAGGUAUAAACCCUGUGGACCCUGCUUCAUGUAUAAGAACCAAACUUAAUGAAAGUCUCUUUCCUUUAGGAGGAAUGAGUCAAGAGAGAAUUUUCUGUGUAUUACAUCUAGGAUUUUUAUGACUGAGACCUCCUUCCCCCAGUGGCAUUCAGGUGCCCACAGGCUUUCCUCAAUCCCUCAUAAUGUGCACUUAACCUACAAUGGACUGAUUCCUGCCAGUUCCUAAUGUGAG
rnacentral:lncRNA from 1 species